GCAGUCGACGGCAGCACGGACUUCGGUCUGGUGGCGAGUGGCGAACGGGUGAGUAAUAUAUCGGAACGUGCCCAGUCGUGGGGGAUAACGUAGUGAAAAUUACGCUAAUACCGCAUACGAUCUAAGGAUGAAAGCGGGGGAUCGCAAGACCUCGCGCGAUUGGAGCGGCCGAUAUCAGAUUAGGUAGUUGGUGAGGUAAAGGCUCACCAAGCCAACGAUCUGUAGCUGGUCUGAGAGGACGACCAGCCACACUGGAACUGAGACACGGUCCAGACUCCUACGGGAGGCAGCAGUGGGGAAUUUUGGACAAUGGACGCAAGUCUGAUCCAGCCAUUCCGCGUGCAGGACGAAGGCCUUCGGGUUGUAAACUGCUUUUGUACAGAACGAAAAGGUCUCUAUUAAUACUGGGGGCUCAUGACGGUACUGUAAGAAUAAGCACCGGCUAACUACGUGCCAGCAGCCGCGGUAAUACGUAGGGUGCAAGCGUUAAUCGGAAUUACUGGGCGUAAAGCGUGCGCAGGCGGUUAUAUAAGACAGAUGUGAAAUCCCCGGGCUCAACCUGGGAACUGCAUUUGUGACUGUAUAGCUGGAGUGCGGCAGAGGGGGAUGGAAUUCCGCGUGUAGCAGUGAAAUGCGUAGAUAUGCGGAGGAACACCGAUGGCGAAGGCAAUCCCCUGGACCUGUACUGACGCUCAUGCACGAAAGCGUGGGGAGCAAACAGGAUUAGAUACCCUGGUAGUCCACGCCCUAACGAUGUCAACU
rnacentral:rRNA from 1 species